rfam:Dipodomys ordii contig_41888, whole genome shotgun sequence.
GGGAAGGUGGCUCAGUGGUAGAGUGCUUGCCUUGCAUGCAUGAGGCCCUGGGUUCGGUUCCUCAGCCCCA